rnacentral:rRNA from 1 species
UACGGGGGGGGCAAGCGUUGUUCGGAAUUACUGGGCGUAAAGGGCUCGUAGGCGGCCAACUAAGUCAGACGUGAAAUCCCCAGGCUUAACCUGGGAACUGCGUCUGAUACUGGAUGGCUUGAAUUCGGGAGAGGGAUGCAGAAUUCCAGGUGUAGCGGUGAAAUGCGUAGAUAUCAAGAGGAACACCUGAGGUGAAGACGGGUUGCUGGGCUGACACUGACGCUGAGGCGCGAAAGCGUGGGGAGCAAACGGG